rnacentral:rRNA from 1 species
AUUGAACGCUGGCGGCAUGCUUUACACAUGCAAGUCGAACGGUAACAGGCCGCAAGGUGCUGACGAGCGGCGAACGGGUGAGUAAUGCAUCGGAACGUGCCCAGUCGUGGGGGAUAACGCAGCGAAAGCUGUGCUAAUACCGCAUACGAUCUAUGGAUGAAAGCGGGGGACCGUAAGGCCUCGCGCGAUUGGAGCGGCCGAUGUCAGAUUAGGUAGUUGGUGGGGUAAAGGCCUACCAAGCCGACGAUCUGUAGCUGGUCUGAGAGGACGACCAGCCACACUGGGACUGAGACACGGCCCAGACUCCUACGGGAGGCAGCAGUGGGGAAUUUUGGACAAUGGGCGCAAGCCUGAUCCAGCAAUGCCGCGUGCAGGAAGAAGGCCUUCGGGUUGUAAACUGCUUUCGUACGGAACGAAACGGUCUGGGUUAAUACCCUGGGCUAAUGACGGUACCGUAAGAAUAAGCACCGGCUAACUACAUGCCAGCCGCCGCCGUAAAAC